rnacentral:rRNA from 1 species
GACGAACGCUGGCGGCGUGCUUAACACAUGCAAGUCGAACGGAAAGGCCCUGCUUUUGUGGGGUGCUCGAGUGGCGAACGGGUGAGUAACACGUGAGUAACCUGCCCUUGACUUUGGGAUAACUUCAGGAAACUGGGGCUAAUACCGGAUAGGAGCUCCUGCUGCAUGGUGGGGGUUGGAAAGUUUCGGCGGUUGGGGAUGGACUCGCGGCUUAUCAGCUUGUUGGUGGGGUAGUGGCUUACCAAGGCUUUGACGGGUAGCCGGCCUGAGAGGGUGACCGGCCACAUUGGGAAUGAGGUACGGCCCAGACUCCUACGGGAGGCAGCAGUGGGGAAUAUUGCACAAUGGGCGGAAGCCUGAUGCAGCAACGCCGCGUGCGGGAUGACGGCCUUCGGGUUGUAAACCGCUUUCGCCUGUGACGAAGCGUGAGUGACGGUAAUGGGUAAAGAAGCACCGGCUAACUACGUG